UACAGAGACUGCAAGCGUUAUUCGGAUUCACUGGGCGUAAAGGGUGCGCAGGCGGCCAUGUGUGUGAGGUGUGAAAGCCCGGGGCUUAACCCCGGAAUUGCUCCUCAAACUACAUGGCUAGAGCAUUGGAGAGGGUAGCGGAAUUCACGGUGUAGCAGUGAAAUGCGUAGAUAUCGUGAGGAACACCAGAGGCGAAGGCGGCUACCUGGACAAUUGCUGACGCUCAGGCACGAAAGCGUGGGGAGCAAAAGGG
rnacentral:rRNA from 1 species